rfam:Salmonella enterica subsp. enterica serovar Enteritidis str. LA5, WGS project CAGR02000000 data, contig: Scaffold30-Contig2
AAAACACAAAGGCAUCCGUAUAAUCUGAAAAUAACGCAGAGUGAUUUUCUGGUUAUUGCUUAUUUUAGGAUUAAGCUCAAUAUAAAAUUGUGGGGGUAAAGACGGACAAGCGGAAUUAUCUUAUAAAAAAAGCCGAUGUGAAUAUCGGCCUUUUUAUUAUCU